UACGAAGGGGGCUAGCGUUGCUCGGAAUCACUGGGCGUAAAGCGCACGUAGGCGGAUCUUUAAGUCAGGGGUGAAAUCCCAAGGCUCAACCUUGGAACUGCCUUUGAUACUGGGGAUCUCGAGUCCGGUAGGGGAGCGUGGAAUUCCCGGUGUAGUGGUGAAAUGCGUAGAGAUCGGGAGGAACACCCGUGGCGAAGGCGGCUCACUGGGCCGGUCCUGACGCUGAGACGCGAAGGCGUGGGGAGCGAACGGG
rnacentral:rRNA from 1 species